GGCUGGUUAGCUCAGCUGGUUAGAGCAUGGUGCUAAUAACGCUAACGUCGUGGGUUCAAUCCCCAUACUGACCA